rnacentral:rRNA from 1 species
UGGGGAAUAUUGCACAAUGGGGGAAACCCUGAUGCAGCGACGCCGCGUGAGCGAAGAAGUAUUUCGGUAUGUAAAGCUCUAUCAGCAGGGAAGAAAAUGACGGUACCUGACUAAGAAGCACCGGCUAAAUACGUGCCAGCAGCCGCGGUAAUACGUAUGGUGCAAGCGUUAUCCGGAUUUACUGGGUGUAAAGGGAGCGUAGACGGAUAGGCAAGUCUGAAGUGAAAGCCCGGGGCUCAACCCCGGGACUGCUUUGGAAACUGUUUAUCUAGAGUGCUGGAGAGGUAAGUGGAAUUCCUAGUGUAGCGGUGAAAUGCGUAGAUAUUAGGAGGAACACCAGUGGCGAAGGCGGCUUACUGGACAGUAACUGACGUUGAGGCUCGAAAGCGUGGGGAGCAAACA